GGGCUCUCCAUCACGUCAGGAUCUCUGCCUUCUCUCUGCAAAGACCGCAUUUAGUCGUAUUAUUACUAUUUUUUAAUGGAAGUGGAGCCUCUUCUGUUAUUCCCUGAUAUUCGGGCUUUAAGUAUUUAUAAAGUGAGAGUCAUGAUAACCUCCUGACACUGAAGUGGUUUCUAAAAGCUCCUGACAGAGCUGAAGCCUAUGCUAGGUGCCACACACGGUUUAGGAACGUUCCUAAACACAGUAAGGAGGAAGAAGGAAUAGAUGGAUGCUUGUGUGGGCAGCACUGCCGUCUAGCUUGCUAGGCACGGCAUUAUCAGGACUCUGUGUGGCAGCCAGCGUAAGUUUGGUUUGGUUUGUUGUUGUUUUUCUCUCUGUGUGUAACUGUUUCUUGUUCCUAGGAUCAGCGGGAUACCACCAUUAGGAUCCUGCAGCCAUAGCAAGGUCUUGGUAAUUGGGAAGAGUUCCUGAUGAUUGAAGAAAGGACAAAUGUCAUUCUUGUUGUUAGGAAUGGCAGUGAGGAUCCAUGCAGCUACCAGCUGGUCAGCCUUAACUCAGUCCCUGAAGAGUGGACAGCACAUCCUUCUGGAAGCUAUUUCAAAGCAUGUGAAGGACAAGAAAAUUACUGGGAACAGCCAUCAGGGAUUUACCAAUGACCAACCUUCUACAGUGAAGCAACAGCCUGGGUGGACAACAGGAGGGCGCUUGGUGUUGUAUUGAUUGAUAGUAGCCUUGACUUUGUCGUGACAUGGUCUCCCAGCGGUCUACUUGUAGCCAAGUCGGUGACAUUUGGACUGGGUAAGUGGAGUGUGAAGUGAGUGAGAAACGGGGUGGAUGGUUGGGCUGAAGGGGUCAUAUCAACUAUAUGGAGCCCAACUGGCAACUAGCUGCUAUGGGAUCCUUCGGGAAAGGGGCCUCCCUCUCAGUAGCAAGGUGCUGGCAACACAACUGCUGUGAAGAUGUGUCUGUUGCCACCAGAAGCUGGAGGGGGUGUGUGUGUGAAUAAGGCGGCUUGGAGGAAAUCCUGCUGAGAGGGCUCUUGACUUCAUUACCUGUUAACCUACAUUUCCUCCUCCUGUUUCACCGGUGAUGAAGCCUAAAUGCAAAACCUGCUAUUGACAAGUGUAUGGGAUAUGUGUCUGGUCAUUGGAGUUUUCAGCAGAAGCAUCUGGCUGCUGUUGGGAAUUCCUCACCUCUGAGUGACAAGAGCUACUGAACACCUGUAGCCGGGUUGGCAUAGUGGAGGUUGUAUGGGAACCGUGCCUACAGCCACCCCUCCUGGCAUUCCUUCAUGGGCUCUUAAGGUUUACUGCAGAGGGAGUAGUCUUACACAUACAACAUUUGCUCCUCCAUCUCUGCAUUGGUAAGCGUGGCAGUAUUGCUUCAACUCACACUGCCCAUGACCAUCUUCCAUUCCCAUUGCAAGAUUCAGGCUUGUCCUGGGAGGAGUGAGCAGGUUCCACUUCCAUUGUCUUGCCAGCCUUCAGCCAUGGUGACUCCUCAUUGCUAACACUCAUCCCCUUCCCCAGCUGUAGGAAUAACCCACGCUGAAAUGUAAUUGUGGGGUGCUGCAGUGAACACGCAGACAUGCUUUGACUUUUGUUUAGCUAUUUCUUGUGUUUUCAAUAAAAUCCAUAUUAUGGUGGGACAGGCACAA